AAAUAUGACGUAAUCACUAUCGGUAUAAUUGCUGGAGAAUGGCCAGCGAGUUCCUACCUGUUUCCCGAGAGACAGACUACUGAUAGUGUUUUAAACGAU
rnacentral:ncRNA from 1 species